UGCGGCAUUGUGUAAUGGUAGCACAGCAGACUCUGACUCUGUUUGUCUGGGUUCGAAUCCUAGUGCCGCAG
rnacentral:tRNA from 1 species